rnacentral:tmRNA from 1 species
GGGGGCGCAACGGAUUCGACGGGAUUGAAUCGUAGUGGGAAGGCGUGCCGGGUUCCGAGCUCCCGUAAAACGAUCGGAAAACGAUAACUGCCAACACGCAGUUUGCAUACGCUGCCUAAUUAAUUAGGUGGCCGCUCCAGCCGCUGAGCCCGCGCGGCGGUGAGUGAGCGUCAUCUUGCGGGAUUGGCCAAAGGCUUCGGUCCGGAGCCGGAGGCUGAAACCCAAUCGGACUAGGUUGCCACCGCUCUCGCCAGCUCUAAGGUGGCCGCCGACAAUCCGGAGCUGGCUACGCACGUAGUCUUCUCAAGACGGGCUUUCUCGGACGGGGGUUCAACUCCCCCCGCCUCCACCA